CCUACGGGAGGCAGCAGUGGGGAAUCUUGCACAAUGGAGGAAACUCUGAUGCAGCGAUGCCGCGUGAGUGAAGAAGGCCUUUGGGUUGUAAAGCUCUUUUGUAGGGGAAGAUAAUGACUGUACCCUAAGAAUAAGGUCCGGCUAACUUCGUGCCAGCAGCCGCGGUAAUACGAAGGGACCUAGCGUAGUUCGGAAUUACUGGGCGUAAAGCGCGCGUAGGCCGUUGAGUUAGUUAAUUGUGAAAUCCCAAAGCUUAACUUUGGAACUGCAAUUAAAACUGCUCGACUAGAGUUUGAUAGAGGAAAGCGGAAUACAUAGUGUAGAGGUGAAAUUCGUAGAUAUUAUGUAGAACACCAGUUGCGAAGGCGGCUUUCUGGAUCAACACUGACGCUGAGGCGCGAAAGUAUGGGUAGCAAAGAGGAUUAGAUACCCUCGUAGUCCAUACCAUAAACGAUGAUUGCUAGAUGUUGGAAAUUUAUUUUACAGUAUCGCAGCUAACGCAUUAAGCAAUCCGCCUGGGGAGUACGACCGCAAGGUUAAACUCAAAGGAUUGACGG
rnacentral:rRNA from 1 species